rnacentral:rRNA from 1 species
AUACAUAGGGGGCGAGCGUUAUCCGGAUUUAUUGGGCGUAAAGGGUGCGUAGGCGGUAAAGUAAGUAUAAGGUUAAAGUGCAGGGCUCAACCCUGUGGUGCCUUAGAAACUGGUUUACUUGAGUUUGGUAGAGGUAAGUGGAACUGCAUGUGUAGCGGUAAAAUGCGUAAAUAUAUGGAAGAACACCAGUGGCGAAGGGGGCUUACUGGGCCACAACUGACGCUGAGGCACGAAAGCGUGGGGAGCAAACAGGAUUAGAUACCCUGGUAGUCCACGCUGUAAACGAUGAAUACUAAGUGUUGGAAAAAUCCAGUGCUGAAGUUAACGCAUUAAGUAUUCCGCCUGAGUAGUACGUACGCAAGUAUGAAACUCAAAUGAAUGGACGGGG